UGGGCCGCUGGGGUAGGGGGGGGCGAGGGAGCGGGGACCCGGGGCCAGGCGCCGGCCCUCCCGGGGCCUCAGUUUGUCCCGCCGCAGAAGGGACCCGGGGGCGGGUUUUCGACUGACGGCUUGGGUCCGCUGGGCUCCCGGGUCCCUAAAUGAAACAGCCAACCUGCCUGCCCGCGAUUAUAUAAAAGAGUCGCCUCCGCCCGCUGCGCCAGGGGCGUAGCGGGGGAAGGGGUUGGCGAGGGGCGGGCUGGGCGGUUGUUUUCCCGGCUUUCCGAGUUCCCCCACCCAACUGCGGGCCGCUGGGCUGGACGGGGACCGGGCCCCGGACGUCUGGGUCCUGCGGGCCGCUCGCUCAAGGGUCUGCGUGGCUCCGGAGGGGCAGAGAUGGGGAGUGGGGAGGCGUUGGCUCAGCCCGACUUUUUUUUCCCUGUCCAUUUCUCCCACUUCCUCCCCGGUCGUGGGAGAGGUCCGGCGGGGCACGGGGGAGGGGGAGGAGGGGCCGCGCGGUGAGAAACAGCCUGACCCGGCCCGGCCGGCUGCCCGCUGCACACAGUAGGCGCCUGGGGAGGGCCGGCCGGUGCGAUCAGCCGCGCGAGGGGCUCUGGGCCUCAGUUUCCCCUUCCUCCUUCCCUCGGACGGAGAGGGCUGGCACCUGCUUUAUAGCCGCCUUUUACCGAGCGCCUCUCGAGUGGCUGGCUCUGUCCCGGGUCCUGUUUACCUCCAUUCGAACAUCCAAUCGCGUUAUAAUCAUUAUUAUUUACUGUUAUCAUCAUUAUCACCACCCUUACUGGCCCUGCCAUGGGUGAAGGGGAUGGGGUCUGUCCUUCUCGGACUUCAAAGCUUCCCACCGCCCCUGGUACUUUAUUGCUUCUUCGCCCAACAUAUUAAAGGCGCCUUUCAACUCCCAAACGGGUUGAAUCGGCUUUUGUAAUAAUAAUUUGGCUUCUAGGGGAAACCCGGGAGGCCCCCAGAGGGGAAGUGCCAGCCCCAGGACUGAAACCAGCCCCUGGUAGGUAGGAAGGGACUGAGGGAGGGGCCGUGUGGGUCCCGGUGAGGGUGGAACCCAGGGACUUUGCUCUAACGACCCUGCCUGGGAUAUAAGCCCGUUUUCCUUCCUUAAACCAGCCUGCCAUCAGCCUUAGGACAUAAGGGCCAGGCAGAAAGACAACUUGCAGGUCUCAGGGCUGUGCCGGGACUCCUGCAGAUAACCGGAGCUCGGGCCUUGCUCCUCAAUGGCCUCACCCCCUUCCCCGCAAGCUCCACCCUCCGGGUGACUCAGUUUCCCCUCCUGUACCAUGCAGCCCUGAGUAUCCUGCACUGUUUUUCCACAGGGGAUAAACCGCUUCAGGAGGGGCAGGGAAUGAAUAUAGACGCGUACAGAAGAUGGGCAUUGAAUCUAGACUUCAUUAUGCCCUGAGAAGAAGGAGUUACAUAAUUUCCAUCUUACAUAUGACAAAACUGAGGCCCAGAGAGGGGCAAGGGGCAAGGGCGUCAAAUCCAGCAUUCCACCUGACUCCGGACCCUGACAGAAGGGCUGGGGGUGGCUCCUCCAAGGAUGUGCCGGGCUGGCAUACCCCGCCCCACCCCCCCAUGCUCACUCCAGUCCCUGCAGUGAAAACAGGAAGGGAGGCAAAGCUUUGUCCUGACCCCCAUUCCUCAGACCCUACUCCCUCCCCUCCCCCCACAUUACCCAGGUAGAUACUAUUUUUAGAGUUCAUAGAGCAUAAGAGGUUGAGUUACUGUGUGACCUUGGGCAGGUUACUUAACCUCUCUGAUCCUCAGCGUCCUUUAGAAAAUAAUGACCCGGACAUCCUAGGGUUGUAAACAGGGGAGAGACAAGGUGGCACGGGUAACGAUCUUCAACAGCACAGUGUGGCGGAAGUCGUUAGUACAGCCUAGAUGUCAUUCUGUCGGUGUUAUUACUACUCUUGGGCCACACCCCCCUCCCGUUCCUGGCCAGGGCAGCGCUGGAUUGAAACCCACCUUUCAGAGCUGAAACGUCCACACGCGCUCAUAGCGUUUGUAACUUCAUGGGCAGAACCCCCACCCCCGUCAGCGGCUUCUUGGGGCGUGUCAACCUGACCAGCUCUGUCUUAGCCACAGAGCAAUACGAAAAUUGACACAUAGCGGGCACUUGUCUCCAAACUAACUCGUUCCAGGGUCGGUGGUAACGUCACCUCUGCUUUUCUGACUUCUGUCUCCGCCUGCGUUGUCGGUCCCCCUGUGCAGCAUCGAUUGUCAACCCUGAGGUACGGGAUGAUGACGCCGAGACCCGGAGGAGGAGAAGUUGAAUAAUUUCCCAAAGACGCACAGCGAGGCAUUGGGUGGACAUGAAUUCAGGUUGUGUUGAGAACACCAUCAAGGGAGUGAAAGAAACACCCACCGAAGGGGAGAGAAAGAAGCUUCGCAAAUCAUAGCUACGAUAAGGGCCGACUCGUCGGAACCUACAAAGAAACCUGAAACUCGACGCUAAAGGCAAAGUGACCAAAUUGUUUCGACCGGGCGAAGGAUUUUAACAGCCGUUUCUCCAAAAGAGAUACAUAAACGGACCAUAAAGUUCAUGAAAAGUUGCCCAACAUCAUUAGUCAUCAGGGAAAUGCAAAUCAAAACCACGAUGAAACACCACCUCACCCCUGCUGGGAUGGGGAGAGUGAAAAAGGUCGGUAACAAGUGUCGAUGGGAUUGGGGAGAGGCCGGAACCCCCGCCCCCCUGCCACCAGCACCACGAGUGGUGGGAACGCACGGCGGCACAGCUGUGGCACUUCUUCCAGAAGUUAACGGGGGACCCUACGUGUGUAUCCAAGAGAAAUGACAGCCUCUGGCCCACACAGCAACUUGUGCGCGAAAAUCCGCAACAGCGUUACUUGUAACAGCCCCAAACUCAACACCGUCCAAACGUCCGUCGACUCAUGGAUGCGUAAACACAACGUGUCCAUCUAUACACGCGCACGUCACUCGGGUGUGUCCCCCCGCACACGCGCACAUCCCGCGGCUGCGAGCAGGAGCGAGGCGCCCGCCCCCGCCGCCCCGCGGACGGUCCCCGAGCACACGAUGCUCAGGGAGGGGACCCGACAUGAGAGGCCACGCGGGGUGGGAGUCCGCGGGUGUGAAACGUCCAGAACGGGCUCCUCCACGGACGGGAAGGGGGCUCGUGGGGGCCGGGGAGGGACAGUGACUGCCAAGGGGGAACGGGGUUUCCUUUAGGGGUGAUGAAAAUGUUCUAAGAUUAGAUUGAAAACCACUGACUUCUAUACUCUAAAGAGUGAAUAUUGGGGUACGUGGAUUGUGGACUUUUUUUUAAUUUAUUUAUUUAUUUA